CGGGGUGAGUAACGUGUGGGCAACCUGCCCUGCACUGGGGAAUAAUCAUUGGAAACGAUGACUAAUACCGCAUACGGUUCCUGGGAGGCAUCUUCUGGGAAAGAAAGGAUUUAUUCGGUGCAGGAUGGGCCCGCAUCUGAUUAGCUAGUUGGUGAGAUAACAGCCCACCAAGGCGACGAUCAGUAGCCGACCUGAGAGGGUGACCGGCCACAUUGGGACUGAGACACGGCCCAAACUCCUACGGAAGGCAGCAG
rnacentral:rRNA from 1 species